UACGUAGGUCGCAAGCGUUGUCCGGAUUUACUGGGCGUAAAGAGCGCGCAGGCGGCUGGUCAAGUCCGAUGUGAAAUCUCCCGGCUCAACUGGGAAACUGCAUCGGAAACUGAUCGGCUUGAAGAUGGGAGAGGGUAGUGGAAUUCCCGGUGUAGUGGUGAAAUGCGUAAAUAUCGGGAGGAACACCAGUGGCGAAGGCGACUACCUGGCCCAUUCUUGACGCUGAGGCGCGAAAGCUAGGGGAGCGAACGGG
rnacentral:rRNA from 1 species